rnacentral:tRNA from 1 species
AUCCCUGUAGCACAAUGGAUAGCGCGUUGGACUUCUAAUCCAAUGGUCGUGGGUGCGAAUCGCAACUGGGAUG